AAAGUACUCCCUCCGUCCGAAAAUACUUGUCGGAAAAAUGGAUAAAAAUAGAUGUAUCUAGAACUAAAAUACAUCUAGAUACAUUCAUUUCUCCGACAAGUAUUUCCGGACGGAGGGAGUAGAUC
rfam:Triticum aestivum genome assembly, contig: Triticum_aestivum_CS42_TGACv1_scaffold_061541_1DL